rnacentral:rRNA from 1 species
CCUACGGGAGGCAGCAGUAGGGAAUUUUCGUCAAUGGGCGCAAGCCUGAACGAGCAAUGCCGCGUGAACGAGGAAGGUCUUCGGAUCGUAAAGUUCUGUUGAAGGGGAAAAAGAGCGGAGAGAGGAAAUGAACUCCGAUUGAUAUUACCCUUCGAGGAAGUCACGGCUAACUACGUGCCAGCAGCCGCGGUAAUACGUAGGUGGCGAGCGUUAUCCGGAAUGAUUGGGCGUAAAGGGUGCGUAGGCGGCCUGCUAAGUCUGGAGUGAAAGGUACCGGCUCAACCGGUACAGGCUCUGGAAACUGGCGAUCUAGAGGUAAGGAGAGGGCGGUGGAACUCCAUGUGGAGCGGUAAAAUGCGUAGAUAUAUGGAAGAACACCAGUGGCGAAGGCGGCCGCCUGGCCUGUUGACUGACGCUGAGGCACGAAAGCGUGGGGAGCAAAUAGGAUUAGAUACCCUUGUAGUC